AUGUGAUAAAGAGUUAAUUAAAUUCCUCUACAAUACCCAGUUAUCCCGAUAGGGCGUCCGUAUGGGCGCCCCAUGUUCUAGUCAAAUCAAGACCAAACUCACGGGUUUUUUUUGUUUCGCGAGUAGCGCGUGCUCGAUCAACGAAAGGAAAAUUUCCGAAACAGAGGCGGCCCGCCGGGCGAGCGCGCCGGAGCCCGCAUGGGUGCCUCGUCCACUCCGGCGGCCGCGGCCGCGGCCGCGCCGAGCCGGCGCAAGCCAAGAUACUAUAGUGACUUCACUCGUUCUUGCAACGGAAGCAGCAAAGGUUAUUUGUGCAAUCAUUUUAUUGAUUGCAGACGGUAGUCUGAAAAAACAGUUCAGUAAUUGGACCCUCAUUGGAUCACUGACUGCGUCUGGACUGCCUGCUGCUAUCUAUGCCCUUCAGAAUAGUCUGCUGCAAGUAUCAUUCAAGAAUCUGGAUUCCUUGACCUUUUCAAUCCUUAACCAGACUAAGCUUUUGUGGACAUCAUUUUUCACAUUUCUUAUUUUGGGGCAAAAGCAAUCAUCCAAGCAAAUUUUAGCAUUGGCCCUCUUAAUUAGUGCCGCUGUUCUUUUAAGUGUUGGGGAGAGUACUAGCAAAGGUUCAAAUGGUGGUGGCUCUGACUAUAUCUUGCUAUAUGGGAUCAUUCCGGUUACAGUCGCUUCUAUGCUGUCUGGUUUGGCCUCUUCAUUAUGUCAGUGGGCAUCUCAGGUUAAAAAGCAUACCUCUUACAUGAUGACUAUAGAAAUGUCAUUUAUUGGAAGUGUGUGCUUGUUAGCAAGUACCUAUCGGUCACCAGAUGGAGAAGCCAUAAGGAAAUAUGGGGUUUUCCAUGAAUGGACUUUCUGGACCAUGGUACCGGUAUUAAUGAAUGCCGUGGGUGGAAUUCUUGUUGGUCUUGUCACAACUUACGCAGGUGGUAUUAGAAAGGGUUUUGUUAUAGUCUCAGCUCUCCUUGUAACUGCACUGCUACAAUUCGUGUAUGAUGGGAAGCCACCAUCACUCUACUGCCUGAUGGCAUUACCACUUGUUGCGACAAGCAUAUUCAUCUACCAGAAGUAUCCAUAUGUGGAUAAGAAGAAGAAAGUCUGAUGCACAUAAUUGUCAGAGAUGGGAAGUAUCAUCAGCAGGAUGUAAUGCUAACCUUAUUUUGUCCACAAGGCUGGAAUUUGCACCGUCAAGUGGGCCAGAUGUGACUCUUGAAGAGUUGCCUGUUCGUGAAUCUAUUUUCAAUUAUCUACUGAUCUAGAUAUAUAAUUAAAUUAGCAGUACAGUAGCCUGGAAUCAGUUUCAGCAGGCAGUUGACAUGCUUGCAUGUAACAUCUGGAAGGAGGUUUCAUAUUAAUGGUGUUUACUUGCACAGCAUGAUGAACCUACUGUGUCUGCCUUUCAUGGAUUGUUAUUUAUAGACUGAUUUGUGAAUUUUGAAUAUGUUAUUUAUGAUGACAGAAACUAAGAACUAAUUAUUUUGCGUCAAUCCUUCUCAUUCGGAAUCUGCACUAUGUUAGUUGUCAUAUUUUAUCCUGCAAUGACUCGUCUAAUUCAGAUGGUUUUGCUUCUCAAUUGUGAUUGCUGUGGUUCCCACUAGGCCAGGGCAAAGCAACAUGUGCAGUGCUCGCUGUCCCAGCCCAGCUUAUGGUGUAGAGAGUCGCCAUGCGAUUGCUUAAUUAUCUAUGUUGUCUUCGGUUAUAUGUCUGGUAGUUUUUCUACGUAUCAUAAGAUGGGGAAUCCUUGUAAAUCAUUUAUGUUACCUCUAGUAAAUCUCAUUGUUUGCCAUCCUAAACGUCCAUUGUCUUUCAUAUCUCCUGAUUAAUUCACCAUGGUGCAUUGUGAAAAAGUUUCAGGUAACUUCUUUAUUGAGGCAAAGGAGCAGAAGGUAAGAGUGGCACACAAUCUCACUGCCAAGAUGUUCCCUUUGAGUCCUCGUUGUCACAGAUAAAAGGUUACCGUGCAACUGAACUCACAAUGACUGAGAGAGUUGACUCCAGUUCAUCAUCGUAUUUGAUUGCUGAUGCCUGUCCAAAUAACUCCUACUCGAAAUGUCAGCCUCGUCGGCAGUAUAUGGAUCAGAAUGUACUGAAGCUGCCGGAGGUGACCAGACCGGUACCAAUCCACCUUCCCUACCCGUCCAGCUGCUCGAUGCCUCUGAAAUUGAUGGAGCGAUACCUAGCACGCGGUGCAUGUUGUUCUGAAGAUUCUGCUGCUGUUGGUUGCCAUUCACCCUGACAGUAUUGCCAGUGGCACCGUCAACUGUUUCUUCCCUCUCCGCCCGAGCCUGCAGAUGAAUGUUUGACGGCACUUCUGGCCUACUGUCCUCACUGGUGUUGCCAAAGUCUGCAGUGAGUUCGGUCUCAGCUCUAAUUAACGAGGAAGUCAUGCUAGGCACCCUCUGGUCUUCUCGUCUCCAACCAGCCACUACCGGCGUGUGGAUGAUAGCAGGUUGAGCUGGUUGUCGGUCCACUUCCAUCCGUAAUUCUUGAGGGAAGUCGAUCGGCGGCUCAUCUGUGGAAUCGCCGAGGCCUUCUUCCAUCCCGUUCUCGAUGGCAGCACAAGAGGCUGCCUCAAGCUCCCACAUCUCUGACAGGGCACCCUGCAACCUGGAAUUGGCUGCAUCUAACUCCACAAUGGGGCGUGGGUAGUUGGAGCCUAGCUCGACUCCUGCAGCCUGAAGCACAGACUCAGGUGCAUCCCAGGGGUGGUGUAUCCAUUCCGUCGGCAGCCUCGCCAGCUCCGGUAGCCAUCGCCGGAAAGACUGAAUAGAGCAAAGGUACCUGAGGGUUGUCAAUGCGGUCAAGCUCACGGCCAUCAGGGAGAGACCCAGAAAUGUACUGCCAGCCUAGUGCGUCACUCUCAAGGUCAGCAUCCAGCAAGGUGUCCCAGAAGUACUUCAUGCCCCAGCGCCAUGGCAGCUGGAGCACCUUGACGAAGAAGCUAGAGACAACGACACGUAUCCGGUCGUGAACCCAGCCGGUGGCCCAGAGCUCCCUCAUGCCAGCGUCGACAAGAGGGUAGCCAGUCCUCCCUUGUCUCCAGACCUUGAAGUGCACCUCAUCGACGACCCAGGGGAAGAACCUGAGGUGCGACAGAAGGGGCUUCUCAAGGCUGCAGGGGUGGUUGAAGGUGAGGUACCUCGAGUACUCCCGCAGGCCGAUGGCGCGGAGGAAUAGCGUGCAGCUCUCCUCGCCGGCGCGGUCGCCGUCGUUGCUCCACAUCAGCUGCUUCAUCCGCACCUGGUGGAAGACCUUGCGGACGCUGAGCUCGCCGAAGUGCAGGUACGGAGACAGCAGGGACGUGCUGGCGCUGUCGGCCUUCUUGUGGUUCGCGGAGUAGUCGACCAGCGGACCGUCGAGGAAGGCCGUUAGCGCCUUGUCAGCGUUCUGCCACCCUGGUGACCACGCUCGUGCGAGCAGCGCAUUGCUGCCCUUCUCGGACUCGUCUUCAAAGAUGAGCUCGUCCCACGGACACCUCGACAGGUCACCUGUGGAGCUCAGCAUUUUUCACGUCAUCCAGUGUGGCCAUUAGAACUCUGUAGGCAAAUGCAUUUGGAUACCUGAAUUGAUCCUCUUGGGCGGCAGCAGUGGUGCGGCAGGGUCCGGCAUGCACAGGCACCUGUUCCAGAAUGGCGCGAACAUGGUGAAGGGGAAGCCGUCGUCGUCGAGGACCUCCCACGGCUCGUACAGCAGAUCGGCGUUGAAGGACUGCACAGUGAUGCCCUCCGCCGACAGCUGCUCCUUCACGCGGUGGUCCCGGACCAGCGAUAGCGGGUCUGCACGGCGGGCACGAGACAGCGAUCGGUGAGGAAUCGAGGACCGUUCGUGUCAACCGGGCCCCAAAGUUUAUUUUUAUUGAUGGUUCUUGGGAGAAAAGGAAACUCCAAAGAAGAAAGAUGCAGGUUGUUUUGUUUGGUGAGUACAAUUGGCUGGGUGCAAGGACUUUUUGGAAUUAAGGAGGGCGACGGCGACGGCGACCAAAGUCAGUAAGGCAGGAUGCUAAUUGCUAAACUAAGCUUGGAGUUGGUUUACGUGUGGAGUAUAUGAGAUAUCCAUUAAUGGCAGAUAUACGAAAGCGAAACUGUUCAUGGAAA